rnacentral:rRNA from 1 species
GACGAACCACACAAACGUUAUUCGGAAUUACUGGGCUUAAAGGGUGCGUAGGCUGCGCAGAAAAGUUGGGGUGUGAAAUCCCCUCGGCUCAACCGAGGAACUGCGCCCAAUACUACUGUGCUCGAGGGAGACAGAGGUGAGCGGAACUUAGGGUGGAGCGGUGAAAUGCGUUGAUAUCCUAAGGAACACCCGUGGCGAAAGCGGCUCACUGGGUCUCUUCUGACGCUGAGGCACGAAAGCUAGGGGUAGCGAACGGG